ACUUCAGAGUGUUCCCUCUUGGGACUGGUACCAUGUUCUAAGAAGUCUAAGUCACAUAGAGAAGACAUAUUCAGACGGUUCACCUGAAUUUACAGCCCACAGCCAGGACCAGUUGCCAGCUAUUUGAUGAGCUGUUUUGACCCAGUAUCCAUUUCUCCCUGCGGUUGUCACACAAUGAGCUUUAGCCAUGAUCAAGUACAACUGGAGUGCAGUGGCUAUCAGUAGCAGCUGAUGAGGAACUUCUUUCUGAUCUGAGAGCACCUUAAGGAUAGACACACAGCAUGAUUCUCACCUCUGUAACCUAAAUUUCCUGGAUUUCAUCCAUUGGAAGCAAGAGAGGAAUGUGGGCAUCUAGUUCAAUUUCUGCUCAUUGCCAGCUCUUCUAGGACUAAUGCCUACAGAAUCACUUCAUGUUGAUUCCAAAAUGUCUCUUUAUGCCUUGAUUCACCAACUAUUUCCCAUCAAUGUUUUCUGGGAGUCUGAUUGUCUGAGAACACUGAAAGAGGUCCAUCAUAGUCAAGGGUCAGGAACUCUGGGCUGGGAGAGCAAGGAAGAAUAUUCUGAACCAAGCUGGGAUGGAGUAUAUUCUCAGUUAGUGACGGUGAGAUUUGAAGCAUAUGUGCAUUUUCUCAGGACCUGGGCAGCAUUUCAUCCAUGUCUGCAACAACAUAAGCGACAACAGCCCAUACAGCAGCAGCAACAUUCAUCUGCUUUGGAUCCAUGACAGUCAUGGUGUCUCCGUGGGAAUGAUGGAAAAAGAAAUACUUGUACAAGUCAUCACGCAGACUGGCUCCUGUGGAGAAGAGGGAGAAUUCUGAAUGUGCUAUUUGACAAGCAUGACUGAAUAGCUGUUUAGAAACCACUGGCUCAGUUUUUGACCAUGUAUAGACCUCAUCCCAGCUCCUAUCUGGCCCAUCAUCAUUCCUCACCUAAUCUCUAUAGAGCCCCCGUGCUUUAGCCCACCCAAGAGCUGCAAACUAAUAACCACGCCUCCUUUAUCUACUUU